UACGAAGGGUGCAAACGUUGCUCGGAAUUAUUGGGCGUAAAGCGCACGUAGGCGGCUUAGCAAGUCGGAUGUGAAAUCCCUCGGCUUAACCAAGGAAGUGCAUCCGAAACUGCUGAGCUUGAGUACGAAAGAGGAUCGCGGAAUUCCCGGUGUAGAGGUGAAAUUCGUAGAUAUCGGAAGGAACACCAGUGGCGAAAGCGGCUCCCUGGUCCAGCACCGACGUUCAGGCACGAAAGCGUGGGGAGCAAACAGG
rnacentral:rRNA from 1 species